GCGGUUUUCGAGUUGUGUGCGUCGGUGUCAUAGGGCCUACAUCAUCCGACACGAUAUUUCGGCAAACUCGCAAGAAAUUGUGAAAAGAACUACCCCGGUCGGUGGGUGGAGGGGGAGCGGUGACCUUAGCAAGCUCGAUCAGCAUAUCGUAAUGUGGAUAAAGUUUCGUCAUAAUUGAUAUCUGCUGGUGACAGAGCUGCUAUCAUAACAGUUUUGCUGAAAACAACAAUUUUCAGAUCCAAUAGCGUUUUUGAUGAUCUGAUCAAAGGUGAUAGUUACGACAGUAUGGGCUCGACUACUAGUAGCAUUCAUAUUGGUUGAUGCCACUGUUCUGGCUGCAGUUCCUGUAAUAUAUAAUAAUAAUAAAUGAGGUUUAAUAUGACUCCUGUAAUAUAUAAUAAUAAAUAUGGUGUAAUAUGGUUCUUUGACCGUAUUACUAUAAUAGCAAUGUAUAUGUUUAG